CGGGAAAGAGCUAGCUGUCCUAUUAUAAUAUAGAUUUGACUUUCAGUAUUGGUAGAUAUUUAAUACCUUUUUUGCAGUUUGAUAGUCAAUUCAUGGAUUAUAUAUUGACUAAAAAUCUAUCAGAAUUAAAAAGAAACUAAUGUUAUAUUCUCUGAAUUCUUUUAAUAAUAUUUUUUUCUUUUAAUGUAUACAUGUUAUUACUGUAUAUAUAUAAUCAAAUAAAGUAAAGAGAAUUCACCAAACAAGAAAAAUUAAAGCGAAUAUCUCUCAAAAAAAGAUUUUAAAAUCAUCUCUAAAAUGGUUAUUACCAUGAAAACUUUAAUAAUGUUUGUUUUCACUACUUUUUUCAUUAUAUCUUAUGCUGAUUCACUUGAUUGUCCAUAUCCUCCAACUGCGGCUACCAUUCCUGCUGAUUAUCCAGGUUACGGACCUAUAGUAUGCUUCAGACUCACUAAGCCGUGUUUAUCUGGAGGAUGGGGAGAGUGCCAAAAGCUUUGUGACGAGCGGGGUGAUGUUUUACAUCAGUGCAGUCAGGAUGAAUGUUAUUGUGAAAAAUUAAGUAUGCCUCGAACAUAAAAUAAACAUCAAUAUCUUUUAUGCAUCUUUACCAAUAGAUGAUAAGAAUAAAAUAAAUAAAUUUAAUCAAA